rnacentral:precursor_RNA from 1 species
AAUUAAAAAUGGGCAAUCCUGAGCCAAAUCUUUAUGUUAAGAAAACAAAGGAUAGGUGCAGAGACUCAAUGGAAGCUGUUCUAACAAAUGGAAUUGACGUUGACUACGUUGCGUUGGUAGCUGGAAUCCCUCUAUCGAAAUUACAGAAAGGAUGACCCUAUAUGCGUAUAUAUACAUACUGACAUAUCAAACGAUUAAUCACAACUCGAAUCUGGAAUCCAUAUUAUUAUAUAUUUUUUUAUUUUCUUUAUAUAUUUAAUAAAGAUAUAUUAAUCGAGAAAUUUAUAGAUUAAUUAAGAGUUAUUAUAAAUAUAUUCCAGUCGAAGUUGAAGGAAGAAUCGAAUAUUCAGUAUUCAGUGAUCAAAUCAUUCAUUCCGGAGUCGGAUAAAUCUUUUGAAAAAAUGAUUAAUCGGACGAGAAUAAAGAGAGAGUCCUGUUCUACGUGUCCAUACCGACAAGAAUGAGAUUUAUAGUAUUAGGAGAAUCCGUCGACUUUAGAAUCGUGA